CCGGCAGCAAAGACCCCUUCUGCGUUAGUUGAGAAUCUUCCAUACUCGGCCUUCAAGUUGGAACGGUUGUCACGCUCCAAGCCUAUCUGGUCUGCAAUUGUCUGCAAAUAUCCACAAAAAAGAUAUUUCUUCACCCAUAAUGGAACGAGAAUUCAUGGGUCCAAGAGUUCAAAUGGAAAUCUUCAAAAAGCGUGAAAGAUAGUUCGGACAUUUAUAUGCACAUGUGUCAUUAUAACAUCAUGUAGUAUGAUUUCUUUCCCUUACUUUGAAAUAAUUUUUUUUAUCAUUAAAGUAAUUAAAAAAAAAUCAAACAUUUGUACGUACAUACAUCAUUAUAAUAACUUGUAGUAUGAAUUAUUUUCCUUA